GACGAACGCUGGCGGCGUGCUUAACACAUGCCAGUCGAACGGAAAGGCCCUGCUUUUGUGGGGUGCUCGAGUGGCGAACGGGUGAGUAACACGUGAGUAACCUGCCCUUGACUUUGGGAUAACUUCAGGAAACUGGGGCUAAUACCGGAUAGGAGCUCCUGCUGCAUGGUGGGGGUUGGAAAGUUUCGGCGGUUGGGGAUGGACUCGCGGCUUAUCAGCUUGUUGGUGGGGUAGUGGCUUACCAAGGCUUUGACGGGUAGCCGGCCUGAGAGGGUGACCGGCCACAUUGGGACUGAGAUACGGCCCAGACUCCUACGGGAGGCAGCAGUGGGAAUAUUGCACGAUGGGCGGAAGCCUGAUGCAGCAACGCCGCGUGCGGGAUGACGGCCUUCGGGUUGUAAACCGCUUUCGCCUGUGACGAAGCGUGAGUGACGGUAAUGGGUAAAGAAGCACCGGCUAACUACGUG
rnacentral:rRNA from 1 species